rnacentral:rRNA from 1 species
UACGGGGGGAGCAAGCGUUGUUCGGAUUUACUGGGCGUAAAGGGCGCGUAGGCGGCCACCGCAAGUCGAUUGUGAAAUCUCCGGGCUUAACCCGGAAAGGUCAACCGAUACUGCGGGGCUAGAGUGCAGAAGGGGCAACUGGAAUUCUCGGUGUAGCGGUGAAAUGCGUAGAGAUCAUGAGGAAGACCAGUGGCGAAGGCGGGUCUCUGGACAGUUCCUGACACUGAGGCACGAAGGCCAGGGGAGCAAACGGG